UGUCUUAAUUUUUUUUAUGGGCAUGGAAACUUAUUGAGUAGUGAUCCCAAACCAAACAUGAGACCAAACUUGCUGCCUGGAAAUCGUCAGUGCUGAUGAUAGGUUUAUGAUUGGCAUAGAUGGAACCCAUCAGAAGGUACAAGUGAGAGGAACUCUAAAAGUGACAGGAAUACAAUAACUACUUGACAGUAAGACAGGAGAAGUCAAGAUGUUGAACAAUUAAGAAAAGAAUGUGAUGCCAAUGGAAG
rnacentral:lncRNA from 1 species